rnacentral:rRNA from 1 species
AGUCGAACGCAGUAGCAAUACUGAGUAGCAAACGGGUGAGUAUAAUGUGGGAAUCUGCCUUUUGGUUUGGAAUAACACGGGGAAACUUGUGCUAAUACCGAAUAAGCCCUUACGGGGAAAGUUUUAACGCCGAAAGAUGAGCCUGCACUUGAUUAGCUAGUUGGUAAGGUAAAGGCUUACCAAGGCAAUGAUCAAUAGCUGUUCUUAGAGGAAGACCAGCCACAUUGGGACUGAGACACGGCCCAGACUCCUACGGGAGGCAGCAGUGGGGAAUCUUGCACAAUGGGGGAAACCCUGAUGCAGCGAUGCCGCGUGAGUGAAGAAGGCCCUUGGGUUGUAAAACUCUUUCGUCGGGGAAGAAAAUGACUGUACCCGAAUAAGAAGGUCCGGCUAACUUCGUGCCAGCAGCCGCGGUAAUACGAAGGGACCUAGCGUAGUUCGGAAUUACUGGGCUUAAAGAGCUCGUAGGUGGUUAAAAAAGUUGAUGGUGAAAUCCCAAGGCUCAACCUUGGAACUGCCAUCAAAACUUUUUAGCUAGAGUGUGAUAGAGGUAAGUGGAAUUUCUAGUGUAGAGGUGAAAUUCGUAGAUAUUAGAAAGAACACCAAAUGCGAAGGCAACUUACUGGGUCACUACUGACACUGAGGAGCGAAAGCAUGGGUAGCGAAGAGGAUUAGAUACCCUCGUAGUCCAUGCCGUAAACGAUGUGUGCUAGACGUUGGAAAUUUAUUUUUCAGUGUCGCAGCGAAAGCAUUAAGCACACCGCCUGGGGAGUAUGACCGCAAGGUUAAAACUCAAAUGAAUUG